CGAACGGGUGAGUAACACGUGAGCAACCUGCCCUAGGCUUUGGGAUAACCCCGGGAAACCGGGGCUAAUACCGAAUAGGACCUGACACCGCAUGGUGUUUGGUGGAAAGUUUUUCGGCCUGGGAUGGGCUCGCGGCCUAUCAGCUUGUUGGUGGGGUGAUGGCCUACCAAGGCGACGACGGGUAGCCGGCCUGAGAGGGCGACCGGCCACACUGGGACUGAGACACGGCCCAGACUCCUACGGGAGGCAGCAGUGGGGAAUAUUGCACAAUGGGCGGAAGCCUGAUGCAGCGACGCCGCGUGAGGGAUGACGGCCUUCGGGUUGUAAACCUCUUUCAGCAGGGACGAAGCGUAAGUGACGGUACCUGCAGAAGAAGCGCCGGCCAACUACGUGCCAGCAGCCGCGGUAAGACGUAGGGCGCGAGCGUUGUCCGGAUUUAUUGGGCGUAAAGAGCUCGUAGGCGGCUUGUCGCGUCGACUGUGAAAACCCGCAGCUCAACUGCGGGCCUGCAGUCGAUACGGGCAGGCUAGAGUUCGGUAGGGGAGACUGGAAUUCCUGGUGUAGCGGUGAAAUGCGCAGAUAUCAGGAGGAACACCGGUG
rnacentral:rRNA from 1 species